UGGAAGAAUCUGUUAAGCUCAGGAGGGAUAGCGCCCUAAGGAUAAUCAUGGGCUCUUUUUAUGUGGUUUUUGAUUCUCAGUGGCGCUAUCCAUCCUGAGUUUCAUUGCUUCUUCUU
rnacentral:pre_miRNA from 13 species